rnacentral:lncRNA from 1 species
CUGAUGAUGAGGCAGAUCCUGCAUGGCAUCCAGCCAGUCCUGGGAGUGUGGCCCUGUGGUUGGGGACCCAUAUGGCCCCAAGGUGCACAAACUGGGUGGAAAUUCACUCUUGUGUUUCCAUUCCUUUCCUUGUCCUCCUUGCUCUUUCUUAGGACUCUCCCUUCUAUUUGCCCCUUUAUCUCAUCUUUCUCUUCCUGCAAAUUGGUUUUUCCUCUGUGACCCUCAUCCUCAGGAAAGAGGUAGUUUUCUGUAACCUCCUGCAGAUACUUCCCAAAGGGAUCGUCCCCAAGACCUCCGCUCUGAAGUCUUCCCAGCACAUCAGAACUAAGUGAAACCCAAACGACACAGAAUACAAAGAGACUGUUUCUUUCAGAUUUGGAGGGGAUGUUUUUUAUUAUUUAGUACUGAAGGUUGAUACCAGGGCCUCACGUGUGCUAGGCAAGGAUGCUACCACCAUGCUACACCCCCAAGAUUUUUAUUUUUUUAUAUGACACAGAGCAUUGCUGAGUUCUCCAGGCUGGCAGUCCUCCUGCCCCAGUGUGCCAAGUAGCUGGGAUUACAGGUCCUUGCGCUUGUGAAGCAGGCAGCAGAAUCACUGAGCUAAAUCCCCAGCCCAAAAGCAAUUUCUUGCUGGUGGAGAUGGGAAGCCACCGAAGGGAGUUUCAGCAGGAAGCGCCCUGAUUCUUUUUCCCCAAGGGGGGACCACGGUGUACCGGAGACAGAGCGGGUGGACUGGAAGGAAGCGGGUGACAGUGGAGGCGGAGACCGGAGAACUUUGGGGAGACUUGAUAAGGGCCCUGCCUAGGCCGGUACAGGAAGGAAGAGGAGAGAUCAAGAAAAUGGGACCUCAAACUCCACUGAGGGGACGACCACGAUGCCCCCAGCGCUCCGGCUCGGGUGACCCCGUGUGUGCUGGUGCUGUUUACUGGGAAAACUAGGUCGAUGGCAGAGGUUUGACUGAGGACUCCAUGCGUCUCCUGCAUCUGAGGAAUCCAGAAGCCCCAAGCUGGAAGAGUCCCCUGGGAUGC